CCGCGCCGCUCGCGGCCCGCGCUGACGCCGCCCUGGCGCCGCCUCUCGACGCAUACCACGCGCGCAGAUAUAAUGAUAUGGCGCCAAAGCACUGGGAAGAAGGCCCUCCCCGCUACCACGGGCCUACUGAGUAUGAGCGACCCCCUCCAUACUACUAUCCCGGACCAAACGAUAGACAGUAAAACGGCGCUCACGGAACUGGACGAAGAAAUGCUGAAAUACUGAGGAACCCCCAGCCGGACCCCCCCCCACUUACGAGACAACGAUUGGUGCGGCGCACGUGCAACAUCAUCAUGUAGUACAUACUACAUACAUGUUCUUAAGACCGUCUCCGAACACAUCAUAAGGAUUUAUUCAAAUCAGGCAUAAAUUAAACUCGUGGCCAAACUAGUUGCUAUUAAAACGUCCUAGACUUCUGUUACUAGGUGUCCACCGCGCUGCGCCCUGUCUCGUAUCGUGUUCAUAGUCAGAGAGGGCAACACGUUGCAAUCUUAUAGUAUAUUUUAAAUACCAGAUAUUUUCUAGAGUUAAUGUUGUGCGAGAGCUAUGUUGUUAUCGACGCUGCUUACUAUGUCGCUCUUGAAAGCUCUUGUAAUAGAGCGCCGCGGCAGGAGUACGCUGUUGUGCGGUAACGAUGGUCUCGCUAUAUUCAAAUCUCUCCGUUAUUCCGUAGAGUAGAAUAUUUUACAUACAUUAUUAGACGUCUCUAAUUAAAUUUCUCAUACAGAAUGUCUUCAGGUUUCUGGUCUCAGAACCUUAUCGAUGCAGGGCUACCAUCCAAGUAAUGUGUUAAGAAGGAACUUUAAUUAUUCGACGUAGUUGUAAUCAAAGUACUAAUGUAACGUAAUACAUACUGUAAUAGUGUCGAAUGUAAAUAGUAUAAGUAUCAGUGAACAAGUCUCGAGUCACCUCCACAGUUACUGCCAUAUCUCGACUGUCUGGUGUGUUCGUGUAGCGCUGUCUCACGUCACAUCGGCUCAAUAUUGUGCGUAAGAAACGUUGAUCUGCCGAUCGUGAUGGCUUUAAAUGAUUUACAGAUUUUUAUUAUACUUUAUAUGCGUUGUUGAAAGCGGAUCACGACGACCGCACAAAUGUAUUUGAGUUUGAAAUCUAAGAGAUUCCUUUUUAUUUUAGUAUUUACGUGUAUUCAUUAGUUAAGUAAUUAAUUUCUCUCGUUUUUUCAUUCACUUACUGUAUUAAAACUGUAAUUGUAUGAAAAAUAAAACAGGCACAUGUUCGUGUGAAAAAGCGACAGAAAAUAAAGGGCGGUAGAGGGCGGUCACUUGUUCACACGUACACAAGACGCCAGCGAGAUUGUAAUGCAUUUAUAUUGAACUCGUAUGUAUAAGUAUUACUAAACUACACUUGCAUUGUACGCGAGCGCGACGCGAGGGAGGCUCACGUGCGGAACUGCACAACUCAAGCAGUAGUCUAACUUUAGCGCUUGUUCACUUUACGAACACUAGGUUUCUAAAUAUAUUUGUAUGGCACGGACCAUGUCACCGAUGUGUCGUCCGCGCUCACUUUGUUCGUAAUUAUAUACCCUUUUUAGUAUAAUUUUGUGAUUACUUGACAUAUUAUUAUAAAUUACUCGGAGAGCGAGGUUAUGUUCAAAUAGUUGAUUUGUUUAAAUUUAUAUGUGUCAUAUCGUUAGUAAGUGCCGUUUAUUGUAUGUAAGUGCGGCUGUGUGUGUGUUUGUGUGAUACCAAAUAUGUGUUGUCCAAGUGGUUGUAGCAGGGCUCCGGUAACUUUAACACAUAACUUUGAUAUCGAAGCUGUGUAUUUUAAUACUCAAAUGUCUUUCAUACGAAGAAAUCGUUCGAUCGAAGCCCUGCACCAUCAGUGACGCAGCCGCUGGGAUUUUUUUAUAAGAACACGUUAUACAAAUGGUUAGUCACAAUAAACUGUGUCAAAUAUACUUAUUAUAUAGGUCCCCAGCGGCUGCGGCCGCCGCUGAUGCCUAGCAGCGCGCUGCUCCCCGUGCUCGCAGGCCGCGCUAGGCAGCGGGCAGCCCGCCUCGCGGCUGUCGCACUUAGUGGGAACAUUACGUACGUUAAGCAUUUCCUGCUCACUUUAUCUUAGACGACUUCCUUUUGGAGAAAACUUGUUCAAAAUAUUAGUGAUUAUGUUGUGUCGCUGCUCAAGCCUUGUGCAGGUCGAGCGACCGCUCGGCGCUGGUAGGAUAGCAUUAUUUAGCCAUUUUAUAUUGAUUUAUGGAGAGUCGGCGAGAGUUGACGUACUGGAUAGUGAUAGUGAAUGUUAAGUUAAGGUAGCGUAACGUAAUUCCAAUAUGUAAUCUUUAAACAAAUAGUAGUGUAACCAAAAAGUAAGGUUUUGUAAGACCGUGCCGCUGUACGCGGAGGCUGUGCGUCCACACGGACAGGAGCGAUCAUUGUAAAAUAAACAAUUAAUUAUCUCUCGA